rnacentral:lncRNA from 1 species
ACAUAUCUGAGAUUCUGAAGAAUAGCAAUUUUUUUGUGUUGAAAGGUAAUAACAAGAUAGAUUCAGAACUAGAAUUCUUCAAAAUUAUAAAAAUUAAAUAUUAAUUUCUUUAUUUAAUUCUUUUUGAUAUGAUAUCAAAACAUUAUCUGUGGAAGUUUACGACGAAAGAACAAGUCGCAUCGUUAGUAAAGCAAAGAUAAAACAAGACCUGUUUAUUGUUAAAUUGAUCGAUUUCAAUUUAAUAAUUUUAAUAAUUUUUUCCUUCUUUCUUUUUCAGUUGGAAAUUUCAAUGGAGAAGUCCAAGGCGAUUGUUGAGGUUAUUGCUACGGAAAAUCUUAAGAAGGUUAAUGGUGGGAUUAAUCUUGAUACUAAUGGCAAAAGCUGAGCGAGAUUGUUUUCGGAUUUAAUAAUUUUAGUUUUUUCUCCUUUUCUGAAUUUCGAGAAUAGCUAAAUUAGAUUGAAGGCA